GGCUCGGUAGCGGUUGGUCCGCGCCUGCAUGCACUUGGUAACCCGGCAGUUGCUUGCAUAUGCAGGAGUUUCCCGUUCGACUCGGGACUGGGCCA